CCUACGGGAGGCUGCAGUGGGGGAUAUUGCACAAUGGGCGAAAGCCUGAUGCAGCGACGCCGCGUGAGCGAAGAAGGAUUUCGGAAUGUAAAGCUCUAUUAGCAGGGAAGAAAAUGACGGUAACUGACUAAGAAGCACCGGCUAAAUACGUGCCAGCAGCCGCGGUAAUACGGAGGGAGCAAGCGUUAUCCGGAUUUACUGGGUGUAAAGGGAGCGUAGGCGGGUCUGUAAGUCUGAUGUGAAAAUUUGGGGCUCAACCCCAAACUUGCAUUGGAAACUGCAGGGCUUGAGUGCGGGAGAGGUAGGCGGAAUUCCUGGUGUAGCGGUGAAAUGCGUAGAUAUUAGGAGGAACACCAGUGGCGAAGGCGGCCUGCUGGACGGUAACUGACGCUGAGGCUCGAAAGCGUGGGGAGCAAACAGGAUUAGAUACCCUAGUAGUC
rnacentral:rRNA from 1 species